AUUGAACGCUGGCGGCAUGCCUUACACAUGCAAGUCGAACGGUAACGGGCCUUCGGGUGCCGACGAGUGGCGAACGGGUGAGUAAUGCAUCGGAACGUACCUUUCUGUGGGGGAUAACGUAGCGAAAGUUACGCUAAUACCGCAUAUUCUGUGAGCAGGAAAGCAGGGGAUCGCAAGACCUUGCGCUGAUUGAGCGGCCGAUGUCAGAUUAGCUGGUUGGUGAGGUAAGGGCUCACAAAGGCGACGAUCUGUGGCGGGUCUGAGAGGAUGAUCCGCCACACGGGGACGGAGACAGGGCCCAGACUCCUAGGGGAGGCAGUAGGGGGGAAUUUUGGAAAAUGGGGGCACCCCUGAUCCAGCCAUGCCGCGUGGGUGAAAAAGGCCUUCGGGUUGAAAAGCUCUUUCGGCCGGGAAGAAAUCGAACAGGCUAAUACCUUGUGUGGAUGACGGUACCGAAAUAAGAAGCACCGGCUAACUACGUGCCAGCCGCCGCCGUAA
rnacentral:rRNA from 1 species